rnacentral:rRNA from 1 species
GAGCAACGCCGCGUGAGGGAUGAAGGCCUCUGGGCUGUAAACCUCUUUUCUCAAGGAAGAAGACAUGACGGUACUUGAGGAAUAAGCCACGGCUAAUUCCGUGCCAGCAGCCGCGGUAAUACGGGAGUGGCAAGCGUUAUCCGGAAUUAUUGGGCGUAAAGCGUCCGCAGGCGGCCUUGUAAGUCUGUCGUUAAAGCGUGGAGCUCAACUCCAUUUCAGCGAUGGAAACUACAAGGCUUGAGUGUGGUAGGGGCAGAGGGAAUUCCCGGUGUAGCGGUGAAAUGCGUAGAUAUCGGGAAGAACACCAGUGGCGAAGGCGCUCUGCUGGGCCAUAACUGACGCUCAUGGACGAAAGCCAGGGGAGCGAAAGGGAUUAGAUACCCCUGUAGUCCUGGCCGUAAACGAUGAACACUAGGUGUCGGGGGAAUCGACCCCCUCGGUGUCGUAGCCAACGCGUUAAGUGUUCCGCCUGGGAGUACGCACGCAAGUGUGAAACUCAAAGGAAUUGACGGGGGCCCGCACAAGCGGUGGAGUAUGUGGUUUAAUUCGAUGCAACGCGAAGAACCUUACCAGGGUUUGACAUCCUGCGAAUCCCUUGGAAACGAGGGAGUGCCUUCGGGAGCGCAGAGACAGGUGGUGCAUGGCUGUCGUCAGCUCGUGUCGUGAGAUGUUGGGUUAAGUCCCGCAACGAGCGCAACCCACGUCUUUAGUUGCCAGCAUUCAGUUGGGCACUCUAGAGAGACCGCCGGUGAUAAACCGGAGGAAGGUGUGGAUGACGUCAAGUCAUCAUGCCCCUUACAUCCUGGGCUACACACGUACUACAAUGCUACGGACAAAGGGCAGCAAGCUCGCGAGAGUAAGCAAAUCCCAUAAACCGUGGCUCAGUUCAGAUCGUAGGCUGCAACUCGCCUACGUGAAGGAGGAAUCGCUAGUAAUCGCAGGUCAGCAUACUGCGGUGAAUACGUUCCCGGGCCUUGUACACACCGCCCGUCACACCAUGGAAGUUGGCCAUGCCCGAAGUCGUUACUCCAACCCUUGUGGAGGAGGACGCCGAAGGUGGGGCUGAUGACUGGGGUGAAGUCGUAACAAGGUAGCCGUACCGGAAGGUGC